rnacentral:rRNA from 1 species
CACGUAGGGGGCGAGCGUUGUCCGGAUUUAUUGGGCGUAAAGAGCUCGUAGGCGGCUCAGUAAGUCGGGUGUGAAAACUCCAGGCUCAACCUGGAGACGCCACCUGAUACUGCUGUGGCUAGAGUCCGGUAGGGGAGCAUGGAAUUCCUGGUGUAGCGGUGAAAUGCGCAGAUAUCAGGAGGAACACCAAUGGCGAAGGCAGCACUCUGGGACGUGACUGACGCUGAGACGCGAAAGCGUGGGGAGCAAACAGG